UCUUACGGCCAUAUCAGCCUGGGUACGCCCGAUCUCGUCUGAUCUCGGAAGCUAAGCAGGGUCGGGCCUGGUUAGUACGUGGAUGGGAGACUGCCUGGGAAUACCAGGUGCUGUAAGCA
rnacentral:rRNA from 1 species